GAAAUCUGUACCACAGGAUGCCCAAACCGGACAGUUUGUUUGACCAAUCCUGUGGAGUCAUUCUGGAACCGAUCUUCAGCAGAAUUUGCAGCAUCUGCAUGUGGUAAUGUCUCUGUCAUGCUGGAUGGAUCCAUAGAUAUGCCUUAUAAUCCAUCAAGCACUUUUGCUUCUGUAGAAGUCAAGAAUUUCAACUCCUCCAUCAUGAACAGCUUGAUCGUCUUGCUUGUUACCAAAGAAGGAGACACGCAAACCUGUGAGAGUGAUGCAUCGCUGAAAAAUCUGACAAACGACCUGGACCCUAAAUUGAAAUAUCAGUGCAAAGUUGUUUCACAGGCACAACUUCAGACUUGCAUUGUUCAUUAGUGGUG
ensembl:lncRNA